ACUGAAUGGGCUAGGGGCCGAGAGGUUACUGAACCCUAUCAAACUAAGAAUGCCAGAUAAUUGUUUUCCGGGAGUCAGACGGCGUGAGAUAAGUUUCGUCGUCAAAAGGGAAAGAGCCCAGACCCACAGCUAAGGUCCCAAAGUAUAGUUAAGUGGAAAAGGAUGUGGGGUUGCCCAGACAACCAGGAUGUUGGCUUAGAAGCAGCCACUCAUUAAAAGAGUGCGUAAUAGCUCACUGGUCGAGUGACCCUGCGCCGAAAAUUCAACGGGGCUAAAUUAUACACCGAAGCUUGGGAUACCGCAAGGUAUGGUAGGAGAGCGUUCUGUAAGGAGUGAAGUGAGAGCGAAAGCGUUCGUGGACUUUACAGAAGUGAGAAUGCCGGAAUGAGUAGCGAGAAAUAUGUGAGAAUCAUAUUGGCCGAAAGUCUAAGGUUUUUGGAGGAAGGUUCGUCCGCUCCAAGUAAGUCGGGAGCUAAGGUGAGGCCUAACGGCGUAGCCGAUGCACAUACGGUAGAUAUUCCGUAACCACCGAAAGAUUUAAACACAGGGACACCUUGAAAGGGCAUAUCCCGGGAGUUGGUUUACCCGGGCGUAAGGGAUCGAAAUUUGAGUAGAGAAGUAUGUUUGGACGAGGGCGAGAAAAGCUGUGUGUAUAUUUAAGGUGCCCGUACCGCAAACCGACACAGGUGGACAGGAAGAGGAUUCUAAGGCCAACGGGAGAAGGGUAAUUAAGGAACUCGGCAAAUUGACCCCGUAACUUAGGGAUAAGGGGUGCUCAUAGCAAUAUGAGCCGCAGAGAAUAGGCCCAGGCAACUGUUUAUCAAAAACACAGGUCUCUGCCAAAUCGAAAGAUGAAGUAUAGGGGCUGACACCUGCCCGGUGCUGGAAGGUUAAGAGGAGGAGUGAGAGCUCCGAAUUGAAGCCCCAGUAAACGGCGGCCGUAACUAUAACGGUCCUAAGGUAGCGAAAUUCCUUGUCGGGUAAGUUCCGACCCGCACGAAUGGUGUAAUGAUCUGGGCACUGUCUCAAUUACCCGCCCGGCGAAAUUGUAGUACCGGUGAAGAUGCCGGUUACCCGCGACAAGACGGAAAGACCCCAUGGAGCUUUACUGUAGCCUAAUAUUGGGUUUCGAUGUUGCAUGCACAGGAUAGAUGGGACACAGGGAAACAAGUGCUUUGGCAUUUGUGGAGUGGCCGUUGGGAUACCAUCCUUGCGAUAUUGGAAUUCUAACCUGCGCCUUUGAAUCAAGGCGGGGGACAUUGUUAGGUGGGCAGUUUGACUGGGGCGGUCGCCUCCUAAAGAGUAACGGAGGCGCUCAAAGGUUGGCUCAGCACGGACGGAAACCGUGCCUCUGAGUGUAAACGCACAAGCCAGCCUAACUGCGAGGAUGACGGUCCGAGCAGUAACGAAAGUUGGAGUUAGUGAUCCGGCGGUAUGUGAAUGGAAAUGCCGUCGCUCAACGGAUAAAAGCUACCCUGGGGAUAACAGGCUGAUCUCCCCCAAGAGUCCACAUCGACGGGGAGGUUUGGCACCUCGAUGUCGGCUCAUCACAUCCUGGGGCUGUAUUCGGUCCCAAGGGUUCGGCUGUUCGCCGAUUAAAGUGGUACGCGAGCUGGGUUCAGAACGUCGUGAGACAGUUCGGUCCCUAUCUGUCGUGGGCGCAGGAUAUUUGAGGAGUGCUGUCCUUAGUACGAGAGGACCGGGAUGGACGCACCGCUGGUGCACCAGUUGUCAUGCCAAUGGCACGGCUGGGCAGCUACGUGCGGAUCGGAUAAACGCUGAAAGCAUCUAAGCGUGAAGCCGGCUCCAAGAUAAGAUAUCCCAUAACGAAAGUUAGUAAGACCCCUUGAAGACUACAAGGUUGAUAGGCUGCGUGUGUAAGUACCGUGAGGUAUUCAGCUUGGCAGUACUAAUAGGUCGAGGGCUUGACCA
rnacentral:rRNA from 1 species